CUGAAAGUUGCCGCUCGUCUUGCCAACCCAUGGCUUUCCUCCAUUCAUAUAUAACCUUUGAAUUCAUUUGUUUGAAGACCCCAUCCCCAUUAUUUUUUCUUCAAUUUCAAACGUCUUUCCUUUACUCUCUCCAAUAUUCAUCUCUCUCCUUCAAACACCCAGUGUCUUGGGCACGUUUGGAGGGGAUGAAUGGAAGGAUUUUUCAUAUGAUAGUACUGCUUUGUGAGGCAACCGAUGGCUUCAAACUAACUGCUAUGUAUUAUUAAUAUUAUAAAUUGAAAUUAUGUACUAGACUUCUAAAGCCACCAAAGGAUUGAAACUAAGUAACUUCAAGCCUUAUUUAAUUAAGGGCUAGCCAA